UACGUAGGGGGCAAGCGUUGUCCGGAUUUAUUGGGCGUAAAGCGCACGCAGGCGGUCAACCAAGUUCCGUGUGACAGUGCUCGGCUCAACUGAGCAAGGCUGCGGAAAACUGGCUGACUUGAGGACCAGAGGAGGGACAUGAGAAUUCCGGGUGGAGGUGGUGAAAUGCGUAGGAUAUCCGGGAGGAAUACCAAAGGCGAAGGGCAGUGCCUGGCUGGCAUCUGACGUGAGGCGCGAAAGCUAGGGGAGCGAACAGG
rnacentral:rRNA from 1 species